GUACACCGUGGGCAGCAUUGGGGUUUCACUAUGGGCACUAUUGGGGUUACACCAUGGGCAGCACUGGGGUACACUAUGGGCAGAAGUGGGGUUACACUAUGGGCACUAUUGGGGUUACACCAUGGGCAGUAUGGGGUUACACUACGGGCACCAUUGGGGUUACACCAUGGGCAGUAUUGGGGUACAACAUGGGAACUAUUGGGCUACAACAUGAGCAGUAUUGGGGUUACACCAUGGGCAGCAUUGGGGUUUCACUAUGGGCACUAUUGGGGUUACACUACGGGCAGUAGUGGGGUACACCAUGGGAACUAUUGGGGUACACCAUGGGCAGCAUUGGGGUAUCCCAUGGACAGAAGUGGGGUUACACUACGGACACCAUUGGGGUUACACCAUGGGCAUUAUUGGGGUUACAGCAUGGGCAGCACCGGGACCCCCCCCAUAAGCACAGAAGGAGGAGGGGACCGCACUUAUGGGGUGGAGGGGGAACAAAGGGUCUUCCUGGAGAGGCCACACGUUGCUAUUAGGGUGUGUGGGCAGCCCCGGUGCAUGCAGCUCCUGCACGGUGCUGGUGGGUGCAUGGGGUCAGCAGGGUGCACAGUGCAGCAUGCACGACCGGUGUGCAACACGCAUGCUCAGCAUGCAACAUGCAAUGUGCAUAUAGUAUGCAACAUGUGUUGUCAGCAUGCAACGUGCAUAUAAAGCAUGCAGCGCGUGUUCUCAACGUGCAACAUGCAUACAAAGCAUGCAACGUGCUCUAGGCGUGCAACAUGUUAUGUGCCUGCCAGGUGUGCAACAUGCAAGCAAGUGCAAUGUGUGCCCUCCGUGUGCAGCACGGUGCACAGUGGGUGCAUGGUGCUGCGUGGGUGAUGUGUGCACGUUGGUGGUGGUGCACAGAGUUGGUGGGUGCAUGAUUUUGGGUGCUGGAUGGGUGCACAGUGCCACAUGUGUGCAUGGUGUUGGGUGGGCGCACAGCCCUGGAUGGUUGCACGGUGCUGGUUGGGUGCACAGCGUUGGUAGGUGCACGGUGCAGGAUGCAUGCACAGCAUUGCUGGGUGCAGUGUUGGUGGGUGCAUUGGUGCUGGAUGUGUGCACCGUGCUGCUGGGUGCUCAGUGUUGCUGGGUGCGUGGUGCAGGAUGCAUGCACAGCAUUGCUGGGUGUCAUGUUGCUGGGUGCACAGCGUUGAUGUGUGCACAGUGCAGGAUGCAUGCACAGCAUUGGUGGGUGCACAGUGUUGCUGGGUGCACGGUGCAGAAUGCGUGCACAGCAUUGCUGGGUGCAGAGCACUGAUG
rnacentral:lncRNA from 1 species